UCAUCAAGUUUGGGGGUAUCACCUGGAUUCUUCAUGGAGCUAUAAUUAUCAAGAUCAAUACUCUACUCCAAAUCCAACAUACACGCCAGAAUUCUUAUAUCAACCUCCAGUAAAAGAAGAAAAGUCAAAGUUGGAGGAAUUACUGUCAAAGGUCAUAGCAAACCAAGAGGAGAGGAUGAUGACUCAAGAAAUAUCGAGCCAUAAUUUUCAACACCAAAUGGAACAACUCAUCACCACUUCAACUCAUGGUCCUCAAUACAUGGAUUCCAAAACUGAGACAGAAAAUUCGAGAUUGGAGGAAUUGUUGUCCAAGUUCAUAGCAUCAAAUGAGGAGAGAGGAUUAAUCAAGAGAAGUCAAUUCAGAAUCAAGAGAUAGCAAUUCAAAAUCUACAGAACCAGAUGGAUCAAAUUCUCAAAGCCUUGAACAACUGUCCUCAAAAUAAUUGGUGUUACGAAGAGGAUUUCGAGAUUGAUGAAGUGCCCGAGCCAAAUCUACAACUGGAUGGGCCACGAGAUGUUGAAAAAGAGGAGACAAGUGGGGAUAAUGAAAACAAGGUCG
rnacentral:lncRNA from 1 species